rnacentral:tRNA from 1 species
GGCUCGGUAGCCAAGUGGUAAGGCAAGGGUCUGCAAAACCCUUACACGCGGGUUCGAUUCCCGCCCGGGCCU